AGGAGCCGUAUGAGGGGAAACCUUCACGUACGGAUUUGAAGGAGAGGUGCUCCCCUUAAUAGGGGACAUCGACUCUAAU
rnacentral:ncRNA from 1 species